AUGCCUUUCUCGGCCUUUUUGACUAAGAUCAAGCGCAGUAUCUAUUUUUAUCAGUUUAAUAUUUGAUACGUGGUCCAUAAGAUCACAUGACAUUAAAUUAACUUUUAGUGGGGAAGGGGCCACCACACUAGCUUGCUAGUGGGCCCUUGAGCGUUGCACACUCU
rnacentral:snRNA from 1 species